rnacentral:rRNA from 1 species
UAAUACGUAGGGUGCAAGCGUUAAUCGGAAUUACUGGGCGUAAAGCGUGCGCAGGCGGUUUCGUAAGUCUGUCGUGAAAUCCCCGGGCUUAACCUGGGAAUGGCGAUGGAGACUGCGAGGCUAGAGUUUGGCAGAGGGGGGUAGAAUUCCACGUGUAGCAGUGAAAUGCGUAGAGAUGUGGAGGAACACCGAUGGCGAAGGCAGCCCCCUGGGUCAAAACUGACGCUCAUGCACGAAAGCGUGGGGAGCAAACAGGAUUAGAUACCCUGGUAGUCCACGCCCUAAACGAUGUCUACUAGUUGUUGGGUCUUAAUUGACUUAGUAACGCAGCUGACGCGUGAAGUAGACCGCCUGGGGAGUACGGUCGCAAGAUU